rnacentral:rRNA from 1 species
AGCGAACGCUGGCGGCAGGCCUAACACAUGCAAGUCGAACGAACCUUUCGGGGUUAGUGGCGGACGGGUGAGUAACACGUGGGAACGUGCCUUUAGGUUCGGAAUAACUCAGGGAAACUUGUGCUAAUACCGAAUGUGCCCUUCUGGGGAAAGAUUUAUCGCCUUUAGAGCGGCCCGCGUCUGUUUAGCUAGUUGGUUGAGGUAAUGGCUCACCAAGGCGACGAUCAGUAGCUGGUCUGAGAGGAUGAUCAGCCACAUUGGGACUGAGGCACGGCCCAAACUCCUACGGGAGGCAGCAGUGGGGAAUCUUGCGCAAUGGGCGAAAGCCUGACGCAGCCAUGCCGCGUGAAUGAUGAAGGUCUUAGGAUUGUAAAAUUCUUUCACCGGGGACGAUAAUGACGGUACCCGGAGAAGAAGCCCCGGCUAACUUCGUG